GGGCCUACUACUUAUAGUUAAAGGAACCAGAAUAUCAUUUUAAUUUUCUUUUUGAAAAGCCUGGCAUUUUUCUAGAAUGCCUCAGAAAACACCUGUGUAAUAGUUGACAUGGACAGAGUGCACAGGUGGAUCAAGCUGAACUGAAUCCCUUUCUUAGUCAUCACUGUUUUUCUUCUUAAGUGAUUCCUCAGGAUUGAAGAUUACUCUAGGAGUAAAUAUGACAGUCAAAACGGAGUGUGCCUUGGAAGGCAUGAAAUUAUCGCUAAUAGUAUUAAAGUGAAAUUAAGUCAAUAAAGUGAAGUAUCAAGAGAAUAUCUUCCUUAAUUUCAUUAACUUAGACAUCUCGAGAGCAAUUUUACCUUUGUUCACUUGUCACCAAACCAAUCUGGUAUUAAACAGUUUCACAAGAAUAGUUCGAUUUGAUGAUAUUUUCAGUUUUGUAUAUGAAGUAUUAGUAUUCUUAUGAAGUAUACUGGCUUUUAUGUUACUUUAGGUAUGGUUUAGUUCAAGGUAAGCUCUAGUGUUUUAAAAUAUGUCAAUAUACUUCUAUUAUUACCAUACAGUGUUUCAGAAAGGGUCUGUUCGCUCAUGUUCUCUUCUGUCUAAAAAUAUAAAACUGAGGGAGAAGGAAGACAGAAGUAGAUAUUACACUUAGAAAAAUCUCUCAGGUGAUUUGCUAAACUUUAAAGUUCCCAGUCCUAUCUCCGCUGAGGCUGAAGUUAUAAAGUUAUGUCUGCAUGCUAUCUCAGGAUUGCAAAAUGGACU
rnacentral:lncRNA from 1 species